UACAGAGACUGCAAGCGUUAUUCGGAUUCACUGGGCGUAAAGGGGGCGCAGGCGGCCAAGUGUGUGAGGCGUGAAAGCCUGGGGCUUAACUCCAGAAUUGCACCUCAAACUACAUGGCUAGAGCAUUGGAGAGGGUAGCAGAAUUCACGGUGUAGCAGUGAAAUGCGUAGAUAUCGUGAGGAAUACCAGAGGCGAAGGCGGCUACCUGGACAAUUGCUGACGCUCAGGCACGAAAGCGUGGGGAGCAAAAGGG
rnacentral:rRNA from 1 species